GGCUACGGAUGGUCAUGCGUCGCAUUAGCUUGUUGGCGGGGUAACGGCCCACCAAGGCGACGAUGCGUAGGGGUUCUGAGAGGAAGGUCCCCCACACUGGUACUGAGACACGGACCAGACUCCUACGGGAGGCAGCAGUGAGGAAUAUUGGUCAAUGGCCGCAGGGCUGAACCAGCCAAGUCGCGUGAGGGAUGACGGUCCUAUGGAUUGUAAACCUCUUUUGUCAGGGAGCAAAGGGCGCCACGUGUGGCGUUUUGCGAGUACCUGAAGAAAAAGCAUCGGCUAACUCCGUGCCAGCAGCCGCGGUAAUACGGAGGAUGCGAGCGUUAUCCGGAUUUAUUGGGUUUAAAGGGUGCGCAGGCGGAAUGUCAAGUCAGCGGUAAAAUUUCGGGGCUCAACCCCGUCGUGCCGUUGAAACUGGCGUUCUUGAGUGAGCGAGAAGUAUGCGGAAUGCGUGGUGUAGCGGUGAAAUGCAUAGAUAUCACGCAGAACUCCGAUUGCGAAGGCAGCAUACCGGCGCUCAACUGACGCUCAUGCACGAAAGCGUGGGUAUCGAACAGGAUUAGAUACCCUGGUAGUCCACGCAGUAAACGAUGAAUACUAACUGUCCGGGCAGAAUGAUGCCUGG
rnacentral:rRNA from 1 species